CACGUACUAUAAUAUGUGUGGAUGGAAAAGGUUGGCAGCAUUUAAAAAUUGUUGAAUUCUGUCAGUGUAUUAAGGAUGCUGAAAAACUAAUUAAACUCCA